CUUGCACGCUGGCGGCAGGCCUAACACAUGCAAGUCGAGCGGAUGAAGGGAGCUUGCUCCUGGAUUCAGCGGCGGACGGGUGAGUAAUGCCUAGGAAUCUGCCUGGUAGUUGGGGAUAACGUCCGGAAACGGGCGCUAAUCCCGCAUACGUCCUGAUGGAGAAAGUGGGGGAUCUUCGGACCUCACGCUAUCAGAUGAGCCUAGGUCGUAUUAGCUAGUUGCUGGGGUAAAGGCCUACCAAGGCGACGAUCCGUAACUGGUCUGAGAGGAUGAUCAGUCACACUGGAACUGAGACACGGUCCAGACUCCUACGGGAGGCAGCAGUGGGGAAUAUUGGACAAUGGGCGAAAGCCUGAUCCAGCCAUGCCGCGUGUGUGAAGAAGGUCUUCGGCUUGUAAAGCACUUUAAGUUGGGAGGAAGGGCAGUAAGUUAAUACCUUGCUGUUUUGACGUUACCAACAGAAUAAGCACCGGCUAACUUCGUG
rnacentral:rRNA from 1 species